GCCUAGGAAUCUGCCUGGUAGUGGGGGAUAACGUUCGGAAACGGACGCUAAUACCGCAUACGUCCUACGGGAGAAAGCAGGGGACCUUCGGGCCUUGCGCUAUCAGAUGAGCCUAGGUCGGAUUAGCUAGUUGGUGGGGUAAUGGCUCACCAAGGCGACGAUCCGUAACUGGUCUGAGAGGAUGAUCAGUCACACUGGAACUGAGACACGGUCCAGACUCCUACGGGAGGCAGCAGUGGGGAAUAUUGGACAAUGGGCGAAAGCCUGAUCCAGCCAUGCCGCGUGUGUGAAGAAGGUCUUCGGAUUGUAAAGCACUUUAAGUUGGGAGGAAGGGUUGUAGAUUAAUACUCUGCAAUUUUGACGUUACCGACAGAAUAAGCACCGGCUAACUCUGUGCCAGCAGCCGCGGUAAUACAGAGGGUGCAAGCGUUAAUCGGAAUUACUGGGCGUAAAGCGCGCGUAGGUGGUUUGUUAAGUUGGAUGUGAAAUCCCCGGGCUCAACCUGGGAACUGCAUUCAAAACUGACUGACUAGAGUAUGGUAGAGGGUGGUGGAAUUUCCUGUGUAGCGGUGAAAUGCGUAGAUAUAGGAAGGAACACCAGUGGCGAAGGCGACCACCUGGACUAAUACUGACACUGA
rnacentral:rRNA from 1 species